rnacentral:tRNA from 1 species
AGUUCCAUAGUGUAGCGGUUAGCACAUCUGUUUUACACGCGGAAGGUCCUGGGUUCGCAUCCCAGUGGAGCCA